GGCCCGUUGGUCAAGUGGUUAAGACACCGCCCUUUCACGGCGGUAACAGGGGUUCGAAUCCCCUACGGGUCACCA
rnacentral:tRNA from 8 species